GGACAGCAGCGGCGCGGUGGGCGGGACGGCGCUCGGCUGUCCCAGCGCUGCGGCUCCCCGGUACCGUGGAGAUCUGCGCCUUUGCUGGUCUCAGGACGCCCCUGCGAGCCGCACGCCGAGGGCCUGCCGGGCUGCCCCUUUUGCACCCCCGGCCUGGUGGGUGGAAGUGGGGUCUACGGGCGGGCAGGCUCCAGGUGGGGGCGUGGAGACCGAGGGUCGAACCGGCUGCAAGAGUGGGAGCUCCAGGGUCGUGGAUAUGGACCUUUUGCAGUUCCUAGUCUACCUGUUUGUCCUGCUAGUGUCUGGGACAGGAGUCACAGACACUCAGAGGACCUCCGUGGACCCGAGCCUGGAGAUCUACAAGAAGAUGUUUGAGGUGAAGCGACGGGAGCAGCUGUUGGCAUUGAAAAACCUGGUGCAGCUGAAUGAUGUCCACCAGCAGUACAAGAUCCUUGAUGUCAUGCUCAAGGGGCUCUUUAAGGUGCUGGAGGACUCCCGGACAGUGCUCCUUGCUGCGGACGUGCUCCCAGAUGGGCCCUUCCCCCAGGAUGAGAAACUGAAGGAUGCUUUCUCCCAAGUGUUGGAGAACACGGCCUUCUUCGGCGAUGUGGUGCUGCGCUUCCCGAGGAUCGUGCACCACUACUUUGACCACAACUCCAACUGGAAUCUCCUCAUCCGCUGGGGCAUCAGCUUCUGCAACCAGUCGGGCGUCUUUGACCAGGGGCCCCACUCACCCAUCCUCAGCCUGAUGGCCCAGGAGCUGGGGAUCAGCGAGAAAGACUCUGACUUCCAGAAUCCAUUUAAAGUAGACCACACAGAGGGUCUGUCAGUUUGACCUCUGAUCCACCUGCUUCCUGUGCACUCCCUUGCCGAGACAGGAUGCCUGCUGUCUCUUAUUCUCGCUGGCUGCUCUCCCCUCCUCCUCAGGGUUCAUUUCUAGCACCGACCCUUUCCAGAAGGCCCUGAGAGAAGAGGAGAAACGUCGGAAAAAAGAGGAGAAGCGGAAAGAGAUCCGAAAAGGCCCGCGGAUUUCGCGAUCCCAGUCCGAGUUAUAGCCCCGUUGCAGCCCAUGGUUCAAGGGGCCAGGAGGAAGAAGAGGAGGCAGUGUGGCCAACGUGAAGCGGUGCCAUCUGGUUGGUGGUGAGAGUCGGCACCUGUGAGAGGGGAGGCCAUGUUUGCUUCGCCCCCGGAAGCCGGCUUUGAGCCCAGCUGCAGGGACUGGGCCGCGGAGGGCUUGGGUUUCCUCCCGGGACCUCCCUGGAGGGAGCGUUGAGGGGACCCUGUGCUGCAAACACAACUCUGGAGGUGCUGGGGGAGGUAGGACGGGUGCAGGACUGGACCCUCCCAGUGGUUAGUACUGAUGCUCGGCUGGCUGCUGCUCUCCAUGGGGAGGCAGCAGAACCGGGGUCUGAGCCACGUGUGGAGGUGCCACGCCUGCUGCUGGCUGCACUGUGUCACUGAGCCACAGGGCACAAGGUCCAGCCCCCUUCGGAGACACAAUAAAAGUCGGCAAACCCUCUGGGCAAAUCACAGCUGAUUUUGGCCCUAGGAAGCUGUGAGGCCUUUUCCAGGCAGGUGGCGCGGGGCCUGGGUUGGGGAACCAGAGGUCCUGUGCCGUGUAGAGAGCACCUCAGAGGAUGUUCCGCUUCAUCAGGGAGCCCCAGGCUCUGGCGGGGCACAAAGUAGGGCUUGGCUUAGGCCUCCGAAUCCCUUCUCUGCCCUGUCCUUGACGAAGGGUCAGUGUUGGAAAGGGACUGGAAGUGUCCUGGGUGGGUGUUUAUCCAAGGUGACCUUGGAGUAACAUGAUCUCUAUCCUCAGCUAACUGGGGACAGCCAUAGAGCAAGCACAGGAAAGAGUCAGCUGUCCUUUCUGGCAAUGCGGCGAGACCCUCAGCCUGUGGGCUGCAGCUCUGCAAAAGACUGCAUUGUAAUGGCAGGGCUGUCCCAAGCUGGAUGAGUCAGGCAGCGAGCUCUCUGGCUCAGGAGGUGUGCGAGCGGAGACCCGUGGUCACCACCAGGCAGGGAAGCUGCAGGGGCCUGAGCGAGCAGCUGCCCUUCAGUUGUGCUCUGCCCAGGCAGAUAGGGAGGAGCUCUGGUGGGAUUUCCAGCUCUGUCUCUUCGACCUUGCAAAGCCAGGGUCUGCUUCUUAAAAGGAGAGAGACAUAACCACCCCAGAACAUACCACCACCACCACCAACAGAGCCCAGGGGAGACCUGAGUCUUGUCUCAGCCCAUCAGGCUUGCUGAGUGACCCUGGUCCACCCGUUCUCUGUUCUGUAGCUUCACUGGCAAAGUGAAUAUGAUAACAUCUGAACUGCUUCUCCAAGGCUGGGACCUGGCUUCUCAAUUGCGGGUGUCCUUCUCUGAUGGUUCUUCAUUCGUCCCAUAGAUUUGCUGAGCACCCACUGUAAGCCCAGCCAAAGAGAGGGGUCCAGUCUUACCUAUCCUCCCUCUGCCCCAUCUGGUACCUUCAUCCUCCUGGGCUCUUCCUUCUACAUCUUCGGCCUCUCUCCAUCUUCAAAUGGUUCCAAGUUUUCCCAUCUGACACCUUCAGAGAAACACACAGAACUGCCCUGCUUUCCCCCCUCCUUCCCUUUGCUGCACUGUGGAUUGUGUGGUCACUUGUUCCUGGAACUCCACCUUGAGUCAUACUGUAGGCAGAGCCUGUCUGCUCCCCUGCUGGAGCUGCAGAGGCCCUAGGGUACUCGUUUGUCCAGCCUUCUUGUAGCUAGCAUUCAGUUAGUGACUGAUGUGCCACUAACCAGAUGCACCGUGUGAGUGUGGUGGUGGAAACAGUGGCCCACAGGGUCAGGGGGAUUCCUAGUGGCCAGACCAGCUCCCAGGGUGCCUGCUGGUGGCAACAGUGAUGUCUUCAUUGGUGCGUUCAGCAUGGUCUUGGACGUCGUUCCUGUCUGUUGAGCUUCCAGACACGAUCUGUGACACCCGUGGAAAAUCUGGGUGCUCCCAGUAUCCCCUAAGACAGGGCUCCUCAGCAGUGGCACUGUUCACAUUUGGGACCAGAUAAUUGUUUGUUGUGCAGAGGUCUGUGUAUGUGAGAUAUUUAGCAGCAUUCUUGGCCUCUACUUACUAGAUGUCUGUAGUCAUCUCCCAGUUAUGACAACCAAAAAUGUCCCCAGACAUUGCUGGAUGUCCCCUGGGGGCAAAACCUCCCUGGCCACAUCCCUUCCUCCUCCUUAUCUCAGCCCCACAUCUUCCUGUGCUGUCCCAUCACUGCCUGGAAAUGCUGUUGGUAGUUCCUGAGGACCCUCCCAGGCCUCGGGGCCACUGUGUUGUCCUUGUUUUCUGCCUUUGGUCUGCAUCUGCUUUGUCUCUUCCCGACUUCUCUUUCCUCACCUGCGCCCUGAAUAAAGAGUUUACUGGCUUAGUCUCUCCUUCCUUCUUCUUGACAGCUGCAUCCUCUAAGACAGGGAUAGGGAACCUUUUUUCUGCCAAGGGAUAUUUAUAACAUCAUUCUCCAGCCACAUAAAAUUAUCAACUUAAAAAUUAGCCUGCUGCCCUAGCCGGGUGUACUCAGUGGUUAGAGCAUCGGCCCUCAGACUGAAGGAUCCUGGGCACAUACCUCAAGUUUCUCGCUCGAUCCCUGGCCCUGCUUGGGAUGCGUGGGAGGCAACCAGUCAAUGUGCCUCUCACAUCGAUGUUUCUCUGUCGCUCCCCUUCCCUUCCACUCCCUCUAAAAAUCAAUGGAGAAAAUAUCCUCGGGUGAGAAUUAACAACAACAAAAAAUUAGCCAGGUAUAUUUGGUCAAACAUUUAAUUAACUCACCCCCAGUGCCUUGGCAGGGCCAGACCAAAUGAUUACUAGUAGACCCGCAAGCUGGCUGUUCCACACUCCUGCUCUAAGACCACAAAGCUGGUGGCACUUGCCCUGUUGUCACCUGAUAAGCCUCAAUCCUUAUGUUUCAAUUUACCCAAAACCAAAUGUUAUUUUCCACCCUGAAGCCUACCUCUGUGUUAAACCAUGAGAUACGCGCUUUUGCUUAAUCCUGGAGGAAACGAUACAUGAACUGAAUUCUAAAAGAUGGGGGGAGGAGGGAGAAGGAGACAGACACUGACAGAGGCCUACAAGGGGAGGCAUCAGAAGCAGUAAAUGAUAAAACAUGCCAAGUUCUCUUCUAUGACCUGUCUGUGGUGGGUGUCUGGACAUAAUGAUCAUCUGGUCCAACCCCUCCCUUUCCACAUGAAGAAUGCAGGCCCUGAGGAGUGACUUGUCUGAGGCUGCUCUACCCCUGGAGCCAGCCUCAGUUCUCCCCGCCAAGGCAGGGUGCCAGCGGGAAGAGCUGUUAGGUUAGGUGAGAAGCCAGGGUCGGAGGGAGAAUGUCAGUGUUCUUUGCUAAGGCUGGGUCCAGUGCCACCACCUUUCUUCUACAGUUUUUACUGAGCCUUCACUUGUGCUCCCUCAGGCUACUUUGCUAGGAACCAGGGCCUCUGGGCAGGUUGUGUCCACCUACUUAACCUGAUGCUCCUACAGCAAGCAUGUCAAACUCAUGGCUCACCGGCCGCAAGUCUGACAUGCUGUUCUACAGCCUCCUGUGGGGGUUUCUGAGGGAAUGAGAGGGCACUGGACCAAAUUGAGUCAUAGGGUAGGCCAGCAGAUGGUUUCCCUCCCUCUCACACCCCCCUCCCCCCCACAGUAGGGGGAGCCCUGUGAGAGCCACUAAGAGGUGCAAUUGAAGGUCACAUUGUCCAGCUCAGUGCCUGGUCCAGAGCUGGGCAGCAGGGUUUGGUUUCCUGUUUCAGAGGGAGACCGGAGACCGGUAUAAUCAAUACCAACUCUAGUCUGUAAACAAUGAGAACAUUCCUGUCUUUUUCCCCCCAAAAAACAAGACUAUUUAUGUUACACAAUUCAUUAUAAAAAAGCAUACUGAAAUAUCAAGAAGACAGUAAAAUUUACCCUAAACCCACCAUUCCCAUAACCAUGACUGACAGUCAGCUGUUGGGCCUUGCAUCCAUUUGCCCUUCAUGUGAGCGCGUAGAUCCCUGUUCUUUUCAAUUACAGUAGCUCCUUUGUGUGGGCACUUACUACAUGCCAGGCUAUGCCACGUGCUGGCUGGUAGCCGCUUCUGCUGCCUCGGGGUCCCUGUCCAUGUUGUCUGUUGCUCCAGCUACACCAACACCAUCUGCAGGUCUCUCCUCAUUGUGUUAAGUUUUGUCGUAAAUAUGGGCGGCUUUCCUGACAUCCCAGGGCAGAUCCCUUGUUAGUUUCAUCACACCCUGUUACUUUUCUUUGAUCGCUUGUGCUAUGUAUUGUCUGGGGUUUUUUUUUGUUUAACAGUUGUUCGCUAGACUGGCAGCUCUCAGAAGACAGGAACUAUUUCUGUUUGCCUGCCACAGAGGUGUUCAAUAAAUAUUAUCAAAGACUGCA